UCCAUAGACUGGGAAGAGAGGGAGGAGCUGACGUAAUCCGCUUGUAAACAAAUAAACCCCGGAGUGGCAGCAGGAGAAGGGGGAGCAAGUGGCGGGGGAAGGAGGAAACUAGGGGUGCGCGUGUGAAAGCCCCGCCCCCCCAGCCCUAGCUCCUCCUUCCCGCUCCAGCAACUCCAGGCACCGCGCCAGCGCAUCCUCUGCAAGAGUACUCUGCCCGGGCUAGCCUGCGAGGAGGCUUAAUGCUGUGCAGAUAAAAGCAGCCCGGCUUAGGCUGUGUACACCCGCGCCAGCGGCACGGAUACGUCUGCAUGGCAGUGGCCCGCUGACUGUACUCGGUGUUUACAUCCUGUCCCCGACGCCUAGUCUACGUGGCUGGCUCCACGGGCAGGAUGAGCAGCGGGGUGCGGGUACCAGUGCUGAGGAUACAGGGAGUGUGGAGAAAAGUGGAGCGAACCGGCUCUCGAGGGUUAGUAAGCCUUUUAUGGUUGCUGUUCAGUGACAUCAAGAGUCAAAAGGAGAGAAGAAUGGAGUCCUUACUGAACCCAUCUUAAAACUGAUAAGAAAGCCUGUUACUGAAGAUAAGUAUGGUAACCGUAACGUUUAAUCUAUAAACAGAAAAAAAUCUAUAUAAUGCAUUUUACACCGUUUACGCACAAAACCGAAGGUUGUUUCUUUUUCUAAACUAAUAUCUGCUUAUCGUCCAAGAAGACUUCCCUGACUCUCUGGACUUGUCUGCCACCAUCUACUCUGUCUCCUGGGGCAAUUCCCCACUGUUCAAGCUUAUUGGAUGUUUAUCUGCAUCUUCCCAGCACCAACAGUCUACUUCAGUUUUACAGUUUAACAACAGUGUGGGGAAACAGAUGAUAAGAAUCAACUUUGGAAGAUUGAAAGCCUUAAGGAAUCAUACAAAGUUCUUAUAAGUUAUGGCCCUGGCCUAACUAUAGUAGUUAUAACUUUCUGAAUAUGGAAGACACAGACCUCCCUUUCCUGCCAAACCCAUAGGGCAGCCAGGUUUCAAAGUGUGAACCCAGGCUAGCCAUCUCAACAUCACCCCAGGAAGCUGAUAGAAAUGCAAACUUUGGGCUCUAGACCUACUAAUAGAGAAACUCGAGGGGUGGGGUUCAACAGUUUAGCGCUAAUGUUCCAGGACAACUGCUUUAAAAAGUAAUGGCAACAUUUCUACAAUUUAAAUUCAGCAAAUAGGACUUACUUCCCAGGUGGCACAGUGAAUAAAGGAAUCCAUCUGCCAAUGCAAGGGACAUGGAUUUGAUCCCUGGUCCGGGAAGUUUCCGCAUGCCUUGGAGCAACUGAGCCCCUGUGCAAUCACAGCUGCUGAAGCCCGUAUGCCUAGAAUCUGUGCCCCACAAGAAAAGAAGCUAUAGCAUUGAGAAGCCUGCAUACUGGGACAAAAAGUAGCCUCCGAUAACUGCAACUAGAGAAAUCCCACAUGCAACAGUGGAGACCCAGGUCAGCCCAAAACUAAGUAAAUAAAUAAAAUCUCUCUUCUCACUAAAGAUAAGUAAAUAAAACCAGCAAACAAACUUCAUAGCCAGGCAUAUACUAUGUCAAAUAGAAAUCUUGUCCCUUAAAAGAAAAAAAGUAGCAUACUAAUUUAAUAUGUAAAAGCUGCCUUUUAAGUGUCAAAUAUGUUCUAAGUGAGUGGUUAUUUGCUUUUCUGAGGUUCUGCAGUCUGGGUAAAAUGCAUUUUUUUCAGCUUCUGAAACAAUAGGCAAGUGAGAGUGUACAGUGAUGUCCUUAUAUUAUUCUCAAAAGAGAAGCUAAUACUCAGGAAGGUUGAUAAGAUAAUCAUCUCAUCAAAUGUUGGUAUAGUCCAUGCCUUUAUUUUCACUUUUAGGAAAAGCAGCAACUUGUCCUUUUUAAGGAACUUAAAUUUAAAAUAAGUAGGGACUUCCCUGGAGGUCCGGUGGUUAAGACUCCAGGCUUCCACUGCAGGGAGUAUGGGUUUGACCCCUGGCCUGGCCCACAUGCAGACCCUACAUGCCACUCUGUGUGGCCAAAAUAAAUAAAUAGAUAAAAUCUCAAAGUAAAUUAAGGUUUACAUGCAUUAAGUAAUGUCGCCUCAUCCCUUUCUAAAUGUCCAGCUAAAACAAAGGAGCAUCCAAGUUGCAAAAGUAAGUGUGAUAAAUAAAUAUGAAGCCCUACAUAUAGAUAUCCAACGUGAUUGUGAAAACCAUCAUCACGCAUUUGGAUAUACUUUAGCAGGAAUUCAAGGGUUGAAAUCCCAUUGGAAAAUGCAAUUUAGGAUGUAUUCAUCUAUAAGGCAUAGCAAGUUAGAUACAAAUUUCUGAAAAAGACUAUGUUCUAGCUAUAGAGAAGUCCUCUAAAGAAAAAAAAGGAAUGGGGAGGCUAUGAUUAGCAUGUCAAAUUGCAUUAUAUUUUCUAAAGGGAAUAAAGUAAGAAACUUCCUAUUAUCUUAUGUUCUCAUCCACUUGGCUAGUAAAUUCUUAUAAAUGAAGCAAAACCAAUCUUCAGCCUAGAUAAUAUUUAUAAUACAGUUUGAUUUAGUCACAUGCGAAAGCAAAGGGUCCAUUAUUAGCAUUACUGCAUGUGCUGAAAACAUUCUAUAUUUGCAUGUGUUUUAAUAGAGGUCUCUUUAAGUCUUUCCAUCAUUUUCAACAAAAUAUAGGAAACAUUCUCAUCUUCUGAAAACUGAUUUGAAGUUUGUGGUGACCACCGUCAAACUCAAGAAAUGGUCCGUCUCCCUGUUGUUUAUAAUGUCUGACCUUACUCUUUAUUGCAUAAGUAGAUUUCAAACAUUGAAACCGUAGUAAGAGAUACAACACUCAGGAAUGGAUCUCCCUGUAGAAACAAACCUCUCUGUACAGUCUUUAGAUGGUGGGAGCUGUGAGAGUUAAAAUGAGCACUUUUAUCUUUAUCCUUGAAAAUUCUAUCCUUAGUCCCCUUGAAUGGAUGAUCUCACCUUUCGGAAAAAGAGCUUUAUUGAGAUAUAUUUUACAUAAAAUAAAAUUCAUCCGUUUCAAGUGUACCUUUCAAUAA